UAUGUGUAGUGCGAUGUGGGGACGGAUCUUAAUAGGUCAUCCGGGUGUUGGAUAUCCCGGUUUAGUUGGAAGUAGGCGAUGGGUAGGCAAAUCCGCCCGUCAUAUACCGAGGCCAACGAUCGAGCCAGCUUGCUGGUGAAGUGACUGAACGAGGUUCCAGGAAAAGCCACUAAGCUUCAGCUAUACACGACCGUACCGCAAACCGACACUGGUGCGCGAGAUGAGUAUUCUAAGGCGCUUGAGAGAACUCAGGAGAAGGAACUCGGCAAAUUGACACCGUAACUUCGGAAGAAGGUGUGCCCUAUUAGUGUGAAGUGAACAACGGAGCAUGAAUGGGUUGCAAAAAAUCGGUGGCUGCGACUGUUUAUUAAAAACACAGCACUCUGCAAACACGAAAGUGGACGUAUAGGGUGUGACGCCUGCCCGGUGCUGGAAGAUUAAAUGAUGGGGUGCAAGCUCUUGAUUGAAGUCCCAGUAAACGGCGGCCGUAACUAUAACGGUCCUAAGGUAGCGAAAUUCCUUGUCGGGUAAGUUCCGACCUGCACGAAUGGCGUAACGAUGGCCACACUGUCUCCUCCUGAGACUCAGCGAAGUUGAAAUGUUUGUGAUGAUGCAAUCUCCCCGCGGAAAGACGGAAAGACCCCAUGAACCUUUACUGUAGCUUUGUAUUGGACUUUGAACAGAUCUGUGUAGGAUAGGUGGGAGGCUUUGAAGCAGGGUCGCUAGAUCUUGUGGAGCCAACGUUGAAAUACCACCCUGGUGUGUUUGAGGUUCUAACCUAGGUCCAUUAUCUGGAUCGGGGACAGUGCAUGGUAGGCAGUUUGACUGGGGCGGUCUCCUCCCAAAGCGUAACGGAGGAGUUCGAAGGUACGCUAGUUACGGUCGGACAUCGUGACGAUAGUGCAAUGGCAUAAGCGUGCUUAACUGCGAGACUGACAAGUCGAGCAGAUGCGAAAGCAGGACAUAGUGAUCCGGUGGUUCUGUAUGGAAGGGCCAUCGCUCAACGGAUAAAAGGUACUCUGGGGAUAACAGGCUGAUACCGCCCAAGAGUUCAUAUCGACGGCGGUGUUUGGCACCUCGAUGCCGGCUCAUCUCAUCCUGGGGCUGUAGCCGGUCCCAAGGGUAUGGCUGUUCGCCAUUUAAAGAGGUACGUGAGCUGGGUUUAAAACGUCGUGAGACAGUUUGGUCCCUAUCUUCCGUGGGCGCUGCAGAUUUGAGGAAGCCUGCUCCUAGUACGAGAGGACCGGAGUGGACACACCUCUGGUGUAUCGGUUGUCACGCCAGUGGCAUUGCCGAGUAGCUAAGUGUGGAAGAGAUAACCGCUGAAAGCAUCUAAGCGGGGAACUCGUUUCAAGAUGAGAUCUGCCGGGGCCUUGAGCCCCCUGAAGAGUCGUUCAAGACCAGGACGUUGAUAGGUCAGGUGUGGAAGCGCAGUAAUGCGUUAAGCUAACUGAUACUAAUUGCUCGUGCGGCUUGACCU
rnacentral:rRNA from 1 species